UAGAUUGAAGCNAGUUGAUUAGGGUAUUUAGCUGUUAACUAAAAUUUCGUGGGAUGGUANCCCACCAAUCUAG
rnacentral:tRNA from 1 species